GUAAUGGUGUCUUUAGACACCACCAUUGUCUUCAAAAUUUUGUUCU
rfam:Picea glauca, whole genome shotgun sequence.